GCUGGGCAUGGUGGCGCAUGCCUGUAAUCCCAGAAACUUGGGAGGCUGAAGCAGGAGAAUCCCAAGUUCAAAGCCAGUCUCAGCAAAAGUGAGGCACUAAGCAACUCAGUGAGACCCUGUCUCUA
rnacentral:sRNA from 1 species